rnacentral:misc_RNA from 1 species
UUGGAUAUGCUGCUGUACCGAUUAUACAGUGGCUUGAUCCCUUCCAUCCUCAUGCACCAUCUGAUACUUCUCAUUUGCUUUACACUGGCUCUGUAUCGAAAUGCCACAGUCAACUACCUUAUUCUCACUCUGAUUUGUGAGCUGCAUUCAAUCUUCCUACAUGUUAGGAAAGUGCGACGGAUGGCUGGUGUUCGGGAUGCUAAGAGCAAAAUUGUGAAGUUAGAAUGGUUUCUUAAUUGGG